ensembl:lncRNA
UAGUGGACAACCCGCUCUACCACCUGAUCCACAGCCGCCCCUGUCACUGUGCAGCUAGCUGUUGCAAAUGAAUGGGAAAAUAUCCUUGGCAUCCAUGCAAUUCAAGGAUGUUGUAAUUGGUAAGUUGUGAUGUCAAAAGUAUCUGUACCAAGUUGAUACUAAAAUUUUAAAAAGAAUGAUACAAUAAUUUUUUUUUUUUCAGUAUCGGCUGUACCAAGUAUUCUUCUGCUUUCUGAUUGACUUUCUUUUGUGUUCCAGGUGCAGUCUUUGGAUAUUGAUGAAGAUUUACUGCCCUGCAAGAUCUUCCUCAACUGCAUAGUCUGGAACAAAGGAUGCAACAGAGCUCGGAUUGCAAGCAAAAACUGGUGACACACUUUGAUAUGAGGGAACAGUUAUGACCUAAUCUUUGGUAGAGGAGCAAAACAUGGAAAGCACACAGGGCAGGGUAACUGCAGGAGUAGU